rnacentral:rRNA from 1 species
AGCAGCCCAGAGCCUGAAUCAGUGUGUGUGUUAGUGGAAGCGUCUGGAAAGGCGCGCGAUACAGGGUGACAGCCCCGUACACAAAAAUGCACAUGCUGUGAGCUCGAUGAGUAGGGCGGGACACGUGGUAUCCUGUCUGAAUAUGGGGGGACCAUCCUCCAAGGCUAAAUACUCCUGACUGACCGAUAGUGAACCAGUACCGUGAGGGAAAGGCGAAAAGAACCCCGGCGAGGGGAGUGAAAAAGAACCUGAAACCGUGUACGUACAAGCAGUGGGAGCACGCUUAGGCGUGUGACUGCGUACCUUUUGUAUAAUGGGUCAGCGACUUAUAUUCUGUAGCAAGGUUAACCGAAUAGGGGAGCCGAAGGGAAACCGAGUCUUAACUGGGCGUUAAGUUGCAGGGUAUAGACCCGAAACCCGGUGAUCUAGCCAUGGGCAGGUUGAAGGUUGGGUAACACUAACUGGAGGACCGAACCGACUAAUGUUGAAAAAUUAGCGGAUGACUUGUGGCUGGGGGUGAAAGGCCAAUCAAACCGGGAGAUAGCUGGUUCUCCCCGAAAGCUAUUUAGGUAGCGCCUCGUGAAUUCAUCUCCGGGGGUAGAGCACUGUUUCGGCAAGGGGGUCAUCCCGACUUACCAACCCGAUGCAAACUGCGAAUACCGGAGAAUGUUAUCACGGGAGACACACGGCGGGUGCUAACGUCCGUCGUGAAGAGGGAAACAACCCAGACCGCCAGCUAAGGUCCCAAAGUCAUGGUUAAGUGGGAAACGAUGUGGGAAGGCCCAGACAGCCAGGAUGUUGGCUUAGAAGCAGCCAUCAUUUAAAGAAAGCGUAAUAGCUCACUGGUCGAGUCGGCCUGCGCGGAAGAUGUAACGGGGCUAAACCAUGCACCGAAGCUGCGGCAGCGACACUAUGUGUUGUUGGGUAGGGGAGCGUUCUGUAAGCCUGUGAAGGUGUACUGUGAGGUAUGCUGGAGGUAUCAGAAGUGCGAAUGCUGACAUAAGUAACGAUAAAGCGGGUGAAAAGCCCGCUCGCCGGAAGACCAAGGGUUCCUGUCCAACGUUAAUCGGGGCAGGGUGAGUCGACCCCUAAGGCGAGGCCGAAAGGCGUAGUCGAUGGGAAACAGGUUAAUAUUCCUGUACUUGGUGUUACUGCGAAGGGGGGACGGAGAAGGCUAUGUUGGCCGGGCGACGGUUGUCCCGGUUUAAGCGUGUAGGCUGGUUUUCCAGGCAAAUCCGGAAAAUCAAGGCUGAGGCGUGAUGACGAGGCACUACGGUGCUGAAGCAACAAAUGCCCUGCUUCCAGGAAAAGCCUCUAAGCAUCAGGUAACAUCAAAUCGUACCCCAAACCGACACAGGUGGUCAGGUAGAGAAUACCAAGGCGCUUGAGAGAACUCGGGUGAAGGAACUAGGCAAAAUGGUGCCGUAACUUCGGGAGAAGGCACGCUGAUAUGUAGGUGAAGUCCCUCGCGGAUGGAGCUGAAAUCAGUCGAAGAUACCAGCUGGCUGCAACUGUUUAUUAAAAACACAGCACUGUGCAAACACGAAAGUGGACGUAUACGGUGUGACGCCUGCCCGGUGC